GGAAUGGUCCUUUCUGCUCUGGCUGUAGAGCUGUGAGCAUACCCUAGGAGGAGGCCCCAGCUGCCAUGUCUUCUUUAUGGCCAGGGCGAACCCAGGGAAUGUGAGGAUCCUAAUCUGGUUGUGGAUCAUGGGCCAGGGCCAUGAGCUGGCAAAGGACUCUGGGCCAGAGAAGCUGGGGGCAUGCAGAUCCUGAAGGGUAGAUGGGCCUCCUCCAACCUGUCAAAGGCCUGAGUUGAACAAAAGGCUGAGUAAGAAAGAAUUCUUAGUUUCUACAUGACUGUCUUCAAGCCGGGACAUUAUGCUUCUCCUACUGUGGACAUGGACUCCAACUGGAAUUUACACCAUUACUUCUCCUAGUUCUUAGGCCUUUGGACUCCAACUGAAACCUUCGCCAUCAACGCUUGUGGUUCUCAGGCCUUCAGACUCGGCCCGGAACUAUACCAUCAGCUUUCCUUGAUCUCUAGCUGAUCUUGGACUUCUCAGCCUCCGUGAUCACGUGGACAAGUCCCCUGUAGUAAUUCGUAUACAGUAAUGUGUAUAGUGUGUACUAUACGUAGGAUAUAUACAUCCUAUUGAUUCUGUCCCUCUGGAGAAUCCAGACUAACACACUUCCCAAGACAAAGCCCCAGGUUAGAAGGAGAAUGGUGGCUGCCCUCCCAAGGCCAGCAGCAGGUCGGAGGGUGCCGCCUUUCACCAAUACCCCAGUCUUCAAAUCUCCAUGAGGCUGGGAAUCUUAGAACUCUAGGUGCGUAUCUUUCCAGUCUCAUAAGGAAUCAGACCUUUUAUGUUUGGGGAAUUCUUAAGAUGAAAAGCCUUAGAAAUCCACAGCCAGUUAAGAUUCAUCUCUGGCGUAAUGUCCCUUGAUGGCCCCGCCCAACAUAAAACAGAGGGAGAGGACGCUGCAGGAAGGAGCGGGACACCAGCCACAUUCGCUUAAGGACCAAGACCAGCUGAGACCAGUUUUAAUGCUUCUGUUUAUGAAUCAAGUUCCAGAAAGUUGCUUCUCUGUGCAAAAAGAUGAGUGGCUGUGAGCUUGGGGGGCGACAGAGAGGAGUACAAG
ensembl:lncRNA